CACAUACGUUUCUUCACCCCGCCUCUCUCUUCAAUCAAAUAAAUCUUUCCUUUUUUCCUGAUUCAUUUCCCUUUUCAUAGUACAGAAACCCUAGGUUUCUUCUUCCUAUGUGGCUUUGUUCUUGGUACAGAUUUGAAGCUCUUAUUCCCCUUCAAAUCUCUCAAUACCUCUCUUAAAGUUGAAGCACCGAUGUCAUCGCACCAUCAAAGUUGUUUAUUUGAAGGUCAUCGCUCUCUCUGGCUCAUGAAAUCAAGGUAUGUCAAUUAGUGUAAGGUGUUUCCCCAAUUUUUGGUCAAUUAUCUUCUUCUCCAUAUAUAUUUUUGUUCAAAUUAGGUUUUUUUUAAUGAUGGGAAUGCGAUUGGGACAGAGGGUUUUGGUAAAUUAAUCUUAUAUAAUCCUCCAGGUAUAGGAUUAUGAGAAAAGUGCAUGUCGUUGUUGUUUUGGCUGAUUACCCUCUUGCGCCGGAGCACCGGUACCCUGUGCAAUAUGACACUUGCUUUCGUGUGCUCAGGUUUUUUGAUGUUGAAGAGAGUUGGUCUAAAUCGUUACCAGAAAGUGCUAAACUUUCAUGUUGUUUUCUCGCUAGGGAAGAGAAAUCACCCUGUUGUUAGAAGAGAAAUCACCAUUCUGUAAUAAUCCAUCGAAUUCAUUGUUGUUUUGCAAUAAUCGGUCUUCACGAUUACACCAUUUUGGGGUUCUAAGUAUUUGAAAUUGAGUUUUGGUGGGGAUGAGAAGGCCGUCAUGGAACAAAUCUCAGGUGAUCUAGCAGGUAAUCGUGCUGAAAGCGUUGUUGGAACCGUUGCGCGGAGACCGAUGACGGUGGCCGGAAACCCUACAUUUCAUCUCGGCAAUAUCAAACCCCAGCCACUCAGUAUAGUUGGUUUUUGCAUCUGACUCUACAAAUGGAAUAUAUAUGGAGCUGGUGCACACUCUGAUUAUGAUAUGCAAGGACAAAGACACGAAGCCUCAAGUGUGGGAAUAUGUCGAACCUUUAAAAGGGUAUGGCGGUUGAAUCUUUACACCAUAGAAGAUGAUGGACAAGGUGUUCGUACAUCUUGGAUCGUUUAAAAUUCAAUUGCUUAUACACACAUUUCAGAGCGUUUGUGGUACAUCUUGGCGAUAUGCUUGAACAAUGGAGCAAUGGUGUUUUCAGGUAUAAGUUAAUCUUUGGUUUUAUAGAUGAUGAUGGUUCUUUGAAUUUCAAAAAAAGACUUCUAUUGUAGAGAACUUAACUUAAAAAAUUUUCCUCUAGGAAAAAAAACAUAAAACUUAAGUAGGAAUCCAUGAAAUUUUGACUCUUUAAAGUAAUAUCUUUGACUCAAAAAGUCAAAUGGAUUUGGUUUUACAUGUCAACAUUGCAUAGAGUAUUCUUCGGCAACAGAGUUGGUAAUAUGUUGGUGAUCUCCGAUGACUUGCUGAGAGUGUGAAUUCAGUUUCUAAAAAUGUUGUUGAAUCAACAUGAGUUAUCAGUAGGCAGGUCAAGUGGUCACGUUUCUGAUGUUGCAGCCAUUAAAUGUCUGUAUCGGUGAUGCUUUCCUAUCACUAGCCCGUUAUAAUGGAGCAGUUUUUACUUACCAGAAAGCUUUAAACGCGUUCAAGGCAACAAAAGAAGACAAUCAUCCAUCUGUUGCUGCGCACAGUUUUCGUCCGUUUGGCUAAACUUCAUUACAAAAUGGUGGAAGUUUCAUGAAUCAAAAUCUUAUUGCUUAAACACACUACGGAUCUACGAGAACCCGAUGCAAGGAAGUUCUAACGAUGAUAUCGGUAGCGCGGGUUAAUUGAAGUUGCUGGUAUAGGUACUUUCAAGGUUACAAUCUUCCACACAUAUUUUGUUUUCGUAUUUAUUAUUAAUCGCUGAUUUUCUGCCUAUUAUCAUCACAACAUGGAGAUUUGUUUUGUUUCAGUGUUUCAAAGUCUAUGACAAACGUUUCUUUAAUCCAGGAAUCGGACCAUAUGUGAAGGUGGCAUUUUAGAUGUUUCUAAACAUAGAUAUUACGCACUUUAGAUGAGAAACAUAAAGAAACGUUUGUCAUAAAUACUAUUAUUGAUUUCAAUUCUGUUUAAAAUCUUACAUAUGGAAACAAGUGACAACAUAAGGAAAUGCAAUACUCCUAGGACAUUAUCUUAGGUAUUAACGACUGUAACUUCUUUACAUUAGAGGUGGUAAUUUGACAUGUUCACUUCAGAAACGGGUCAAAUGAUGGUCAUAUAUAAAAUAUACCUAAAAACGACAAGGUCAAAUGGGGUGAGUAGUUUAAGACUCACCCAUAGGUGUAAAAUUGACACUAAUUAUUUGCAAAAAAAAAAAAAAAAAAAAAAAAAAAAAAAAAAACUUCAAAAUUCUAGGAAGAAGCGUUUCGGCUAACCCAACCGAACCUAACCUGUUUGGCCUUUGACUUGUAUCAUUUACAAAAAUUUCAAUAUUAUGGGAAAAAAAUUUUCGGCUAGCCCAACUGAACUUGGCCCGUUUGGCCUCUGACCCAUUACUAAACGCACCCGCCCUUGCCAUUACACUUAUUUGUUUGAAUGUUUAGGCUACAAAGUCAAGAGUACCCUUGGGUUCAACCAGGUGUGAAGUGGCCUUUGUGUUGGCCUGUUGGAGGCAACCUGGUCCUCAUAUACUAUUCAUCAACUUAUUUUCUUUUUUUUUUAACACUUGAAUUUUGACUAAAACUACUGUUGGAAACAGCCAGAGCCUGGCAAUUUCAACAGAUGGUCCGAUUCCUUUUAUGAUCUAUCUCUAAUGGGUCAGACGGGUAAAACAAAAAGUUAAUGAAAAAAGAAACCUGACAAAUGGGGCAGGGAUUGAAAGUCGCCCAAACUAUAAGAAUAUACUUUUGUUAAUCAAAUUUGCAGCAAAAAGCCUCCUAAAUAUUUCAAUGAAAGUCCCAAACGGAUGGGCUCCACUGAUACUGAAGUUUAACUGAAACUAAAAGCGAAUAUCGUAAAUAGCUAGCUGAAGGAAUUGCAGGAAUUCAACACAAUGCCUUCUACAUGCAUCGCGCUUUGGUAGACUAUGGGGUGUGGAGGGGCUUGGGUUGGGGGCAUUGAUCGACAUAUGGCGAGGGUGGGAUUCACAAGUUAAUACUCAAAAGCUAGGGGUGUGGUGGGGCGUCGCUUAGUUGGGCGUGGCCAGCCAUCCGGGUCGCGUUUGUAGCUGAAAUUCAAAUUCUGGGUCAUAUUCGGCAUCGACUGAAAGGCAUUAACUAUUUAGGAAACUAUUUGGACCAACUAGCAAACUGGGCAGGCCGGGCAAGCACGGGUCACCGAUUAAAGCGACUUUGGGUUAGAAUGGGUUCGGGUCAAUAUGGGUUAGGAUUAAAAUGAGUUUGGGUUAAGACGGGUUCAGAGCAAAAUGAGUUCGGCCCAUUUAAAAUAUUAUUAAUUAAAUUCGGGUCAAUAUGGGUUUGGAGCAAAAUUAGUUCGGGUCAAACAUGUAGUUUAAAGGAAAUCUUUCAAUUUUUGGAAUCUCUUGAAAAAGUAAAGACUCGAAAAUCGGAAUGGGUAAUGUGAAACGGGUAGUUUUAGAUACAGGUUAAAAAAGUGAGUCAAGUCAGUUAACUUGCCAACAUUUUUUUUAGUUUUGUACUAAAAUAAGUAGUUAAUGAUGUGGGGGUAUUUUGGAAUUUUGGUGAGUGGUUCUAUAUUGAACCAGGUAUUAGUGGGAAGAGUACUGUUUUUUUUAGAUGCUAAGGGUGCUUGUGGGAUUGGGAUUUUUUGGUGAUUGGGGAAGGUGUUUGGGGUGUUAUGGGAGGGUGAAGGAGAGUUGAGAUGGUUUUGAAUUUUUGCAAGAAGUUUUGGGUUUUAAUGUGUAGGAUUAGGAUGAACAUAAAGGUUGAUAAAUUAAGAAUGGUGCUGGUAGAGUGCAGCUUGGGUGCACGUAUUUGGUUGUUGAUAAUUUGCAGAUUGGCAGAGUGCUUUGGAAGGAGUUUCGUUUGGUUGUUGCUGCACUCAAGAGUGUGAAGACCGCUGAUGUGUUUAAGGAUUAUGUUUUGUUUUGUAUUUAACAGUUUUGUUGAUGUUUUACUCUGGUUUAUGAUUGUUAGGUUUGACUUGUAUGAUAGGUUAAUUUGGUGGUUUUUGUAUAGAUUGGGCAGGGACCGAGCUUUUAAGUCCAUUUUGUUAGGCACUUUGUCCGUGGGGGUGGAGUGCCUUGGGUAGUAUGUCCCGGGAACCUAAACCCCUGUAGUUGCGUAUAUUGUUUUCGUUAUUAAUAAAAUUUACCAGAGUUGCCGCUCUAUUUUACCAAAAAAAACCCUUAAGGUUAUCAUAUUCAUUAUGAUUUUGAUAACUUUUUGUAUCAAAUCAGAUUCAUGAAGUUCAAAUUGUUUCCGAGUUUCUCUCAAUCAUUGUACUCAUUAAUUUCAGUUUUCUUAAAUUCGCUAGGUAAGUUGGGAAAAGAAAAAUCUAGCGAUGAGCUUUCACGUUGCCAUGGACAAGUUGUUCCUUGCUCCCCCACGCAACUCCAAACCCCAUGAGCAGUCCCCUUCAUCGUGGAAGCCAUUCGACAAAAAACAACUAGCGAGGUCAGUGGUACAGGAAGAAAGCCAUGGCAUCAAAAGAGUAUAGGGCGAGCAAGACAUGGAACAUUGUGUGGAAUCAAGUAAGACGUUGUUGGAAUUAGCGACUCCGAGAGUUAGCUUAAAGAUAUGGAGUAAAGCACACAAGAGAUUCACCAGAAAAGUAAACGAUCCUACCUGGUGCUUUGAUACCAUAAAGCAUCAAAAUCAAGAUGAUAUAGUUGAUUAAACGAUUAACAUGGGUAUUUGUGGUAAGACUUCAGUUAACUAAACUAAUAAUCACCUGAGAUCGAUUAUCAAAUUCGUGAAGUCCAUCUCCGGUUCGAUAUUAUUAGCAUAUUAAGUGCAAUAACAUUCUGCUCGACUGCAAAUAUGAGGCUUAUUUGGCUGAUUUUGGGCUCGCGAAGCUAAUGAAUUCUGCCAAUUAUCAGCAUGCCAUGUCACGGGUCGCCGGAUCAUAUGGAUACAUCGCUCCAGGCAA